rnacentral:rRNA from 1 species
GUUAAUAAAAAUUAAGGUCUACCUAUCUAGGUGUGUACCAUAUUUUUAUUUCCUUCUUUUUGAAUACACUCCAUCUAACAUAGUUAUUUGGAUAAAAGUGUUUCAAAUCUUUUACUGUGAAGAAAUUAGAGUGUUCAAAGCAGGCGUAUUUUAGUCUUUGAAUAUAUUAGCAUGGGAUAAUGAAAUAGGACUUUAGUUCUACUUUCGUUGGUUUCUAGAGCUGAAGUA